CCUACGGGAGGCAGCAGUGGGGAAUAUUGCACAAUGGGCGCAAGCCUGAUGCAGCGACGCCGCGUGAGGGAUGACGGCCUUCGGGUUGUAAACCUCUUUCAGUAGGGAAGAAGCGAAAGUGACGGUACCUGCAGAAGAAGCGCCGGCUAACUACGUGCCAGCAGCCGCGGUGAUACGUAGGGCGCAAGCGUUAUCCGGAAUUAUUGGGCGUAAAGAGCUCGUAGGCGGUUUGUCGCGUCUGCCGUGAAAGUCCGGGGCUCAACUCCGGAUCUGCGGUGGGUACGGGCAGACUAGAGUGAUGUAGGGGAGACUGGAAUUCCUGGUGUAGCGGUGAAAUGCGCAGAUAUCAGGAGGAACACCGAUGGCGAAGGCAGGUCUCUGGGCAUUAACUGACGCUGAGGAGCGAAAGCAUGGGGAGCGAACAGGAUUAGAUACCCUGGUAGUCCAUGCCGUAAACGUUGGGCACUAGGUGUGGGGGACAUUCCACGUUUUCCGCGCCGUAGCUAACGCNUAAGUGCCCGCCUGGGGNGACGCGCGAGNGUAACUANAAGAAGUAGAGNGUGNGAGNGCGAGGCGACGACGAGGAGAGG
rnacentral:rRNA from 1 species